rnacentral:rRNA from 1 species
AUUGAACGCUGGCGGAAUGCUUUACACAUGCAAGUCGAACGGUAGAGGGGGCAACCCCUUGAGAGUGGCGAACGGGUGAGUAAUAUAUCGGAACGUGCCCAGUCGUGGGGGAUAACGUAGCGAAAGUUACGCUAAUACCGCAUACGAUCUAAGGAUGAAAGCGGGGGACCUGUAAGGGCCUCGCGCGAUUGGAGCGGCCGAUAUCAGAUUAGGUAGUUGGUGGGGUAAAGGCUCACCAAGCCAACGAUCUGUAGCUGGUCUGAGGGGACGACCAGCCACACUGGAACUGAGACACGGCCCAGACUCCUACGGGAGGCAGCAGUGGGGAAUAUUGGACAAUGGGGGAAACCCUGAUCCAGCAAUGCCGCGUGAGUGAUGAAGGCCUUAGGGUCGUAAAGCUCUUUUACCAGGGAUGAUAAUGACAGUACCUGGAGAAUAAGCUCCGGCUAACUCCGUG